GGAACGCAGUAAAGAUGAUUUAGUUUUACACAAUAGAAAUAAAUAUCGAUAUAGUCGACGGCGGAAAGGUGGAAAUAUAAAAUCGUUAUGUAAUAAAUAAUGACCGCAGUGCGAGUAUUUUAACGACAUCAGACCAAAAGAGUCUAUCCUCGAAUUUUCAGAUGAGCAUAUCUGCGCUAAUAACUCGGUACGAAAAAUCGAGCGGCAGAUAUAUUAAGGGAAAACUGCAAAAGAAAACGCGAAGAAAACUUAUCUACUAACC